rnacentral:rRNA from 1 species
GAUGAACGCUGGCGGCGUGCUUAACACAUGCAAGUCGAACGGAAAGACACUGCGUUUGUGCGGUUCUCGAUUGGCGAAGGCGGGAGUAUCACGUGAGUAUCCUGACCUUGUCUUUCGGGGAACUUCACGAAACUGGGGCUAAUAUCGGACAGCAUAUCAUGCAGCGUGGAGAGCAGUGGAAAGUUUCGGCUGUUGUGGAUGGACUAGCGGCUUACGAGCUUGGUGGUGGGGUAGUGGCUGACCCAGGGUUUGAAGGGUAGGCGGCCUGAGAGGGUGACCGGCGACCUUGGGACUGAGGGACGGACCAGAGUGGUACGGGAGGCAGCAGUGGGGAACAUGGUACAAUGGGCGCAAGCCGGAUGCAGAAACGCCGCGUGUGGGAAGACGGUCUUCGGGUUGUAAAACGCUUUCGCCUGUGACGAAGCGUGUGUGACGGUAACGGGUAAAGAAGCACCGGCUAACUACGUG